ACGUAAUAGAUACCCUGGUAGUCCUGGCCGUAAACGAUGCGGACUUGGUGUUGGGAUGGCUUCGAGCUGCUCCAGUGCCGAAGGGAAGCUGUUAAGUCCGUCGCCUGGGAAGUACGGUCGCAAGACUGAAACUUAAAGGAAUUGGCGGGGAGCACCACAACGCGUGGAGCCUGCGGUUUAAUUGGACUCAACGCCGGACAUCUCACCAGGGGUCGACAGCAGGAUGAUGGCCAGGUUGAUGACCUUGCUUGACAAGCUGAGAGGAGGUGCAUGGCCGCCGUCAGCUCGUACCGUGAGGCGUCCUG
rnacentral:rRNA from 1 species